CCUCAGUGUCUUCUCAAAUGAGAAGCAUCUGAAUGAGCAGCUAACGCAUGAAGCAAGAACUGAAAGCAGAAAGAAGAUGGGUCAAGAGGACAGGCGGGAUAAGCAAACAAAACAGGAACAAAACAGCAUCUUCCAUGGACAUCAGUACCUUUUCCCAGCAAGUCCAAGACCCAGGGCUCCAAAAUACCACUCAUAAGUGCUGUGAAUUCAAACACUGAAAAAAGAAAAAGAGGCUUCUACUCAGACAGCGAGAAUAGUAUCCAGUAAAAGACAAGAAAUCCUAGGCUUCCCUGGUGGUCCAGUGGUUAAGAUCCGCCUUCAGCGUGCAAAGAUCCCACAUGCCAGGGAGCAUCUAAGGCCAUGUGUCACAACUACGGAGCCUG